AUACGUAGGUGGCGAGCGUUGUCCGGAAUUACUGGGCGUAAAGGGUGCGUAGGCGGUAAAGGAAGUCCGAUGUGAAAUUCCGGGGCUUAACCUCGGAACUGCAUUAGAAACUCCUUUACUAGAGUGCAGGAGAGGGAAGCGGAAUUCCUAGUGUAGCGGUGAAAUGCGUAGAUAUUAGGAAGAACACCAGUGGCGAAGGCGGCUUUCUGGACUGUAACUGACGCUGAUGCACGAAAGCGUGGGGAGCGAACAGGAUUAGAUACCCUGGUAGUCCACGCUGUAAACGAUGAGUGCUAGGUGUAGGAGGUAUCGACUCCUUCUGUGCCGCAGUAAACGCAAUAAGCACUCCGCCUGGGGAGUACGGUCGCAAGACUAAA
rnacentral:rRNA from 1 species